GACGAACGCUGGCGGCGUGCCUAAUACAUGCAAGUCGAGCGAGUCUGCCUUGAAGAUCGGAGUGCUUGCACUCUGUGAAACAAGAUACAGGCUAGCGGCGGACGGGUGAGUAACACGUGGGUAACCUGCCCAAGAGAUCGGGAUAACACCUGGAAACAGAUGCUAAUACCGGAUAACAACAGAUGAUGCCUAUCAACUGUUUAAAAGAUGGUUCUGCUAUCACUCUUGGAUGGACCUGCGGUGCAUUAGCUAGUUGGUAGGGUAACGGCCUACCAAGGCGAAGAUGCAUAGCCGAGUUGAGAGACUGAUCGGCCACAUUGGGACUGAGACACGGCCCAAACUCCUACGGGAGGCAGCAGUAGGGAAUCUUCCACAAUGGACGCAAGUCUGAUGGAGCAACGCCGCGUGAGUGAAGAAGGGUUUCGGCUCGUAAAGCUCUGUUGUUGGUGAAGAAGGACAGGGGUAGUAACUGACCUUUGUUUGACGGUAAUCAAUUAGAAAGUCACGGCUAACUACGUG
rnacentral:rRNA from 1 species